GCCUUUACGGCGGCCACAAUUUCUCAGCAUUGCUUUUCCUAAAUGAAAAUUGCCAGAUGUUAUCCUGCUACUGGCACAGAAAGGAAGUUCAGAUAUCACAAUGCAAAGCUCUACCGCCGGGUUGCCGGAGAACAAAAAAGGCGAUGAAUCAAACAUUCCCGCUGUGCUGCAAGAAGACCUGCAAACCGAAAAAGCAGCACUGUCUUACGAGAGACGGCGAGUUGGUGAGAGACGGACAACGCCUGAACUUGUCUGAGCCCUGCGUUAGCUACAGCUGCCAUAGAGGACGAAUUACG
rnacentral:lncRNA from 1 species